UAAUACCCUAUAGGUUACAGAUGCUGGAACGCUCUGUAAUCAAAAGUUCCGGCGCCCUAGGAUGGAUCUGCGGCCGAUUAGGUUGUUGUUUGGGGUAAUGGCCCAACAAGCCAGUAAUCGGUACGGGUUGUGGGAGCAAGAGCCCGGAGUUGGAUUCUGAGACACGAAUCCAGGCCCUACGGGGCGCAGCAGGCGCGAAAACUUUACAAUGCGGGCAACCGUGAUAAGGGAACCUCGAGUGCCUGUAAAUGCAGGCUGUUCAGAUACCUAAAACACAUCUGGAGAAAGGGCCGGGCAAGACCGGUGCCAGCCGCCGCGGUAAUACCGGCGGCUCGAGUGGUGGCCACUUUUAUUGGGCUUAAAGCGUUCGUAGCUGGGUUGUUAAGUCUCUUGGGAAAUCUGGCGGCUUAACCGUCAGGCGUCUAAGGGAUACUGGCAAUCUUGGAACCGGGAGAGGUGAGGGGUACUUCGGGGGUAGGAGUGAAAUCCUGUAAUCCUCGAGGGACCACCUGUGGCGAAGGCGCCUCACCAGAACGGCUUCGACAGUGAGGGACGAAAGCUGGGGGAGCAAACCGGAUUAGAUACCCGGGUAGUCCCAGCCGUAAACUAUGCGCGUUAGGUGUAU
rnacentral:rRNA from 1 species